rnacentral:rRNA from 1 species
UCCUACGGGGCGCAGCAGUGAGGGAUAUUGGUCAAUGGGGGAAACCCUGAACCAGCAACGCCGCGUGAGGGAAGACGGUUUUCGGAUUGUAAACCUCUGUCCUCUGUGAAGAUAAUGACGGUAGCAGAGGAGGAAGCUCCGGCUAACUACGUGCCAGCAGCCGCGGUAAUACGUAGGGAGCGAGCGUUGUCCGGAUUUACUGGGUGUAAAGGGUGCGUAGGCGGCUUUGCAAGUCGGAAGUGAAAUCCAUGUGCUUAACCCAUGAACUGCUUUUGAAACUGCAGAGCUGGAGUGGAGUAGAGGUG